AUUGAACGCUGGCGGCAGGCCUAACACAUGCAAGUCGAGCGGAUGAAGGGAGCUUGCUCCUGGAUUCAGCGGCGGACGGGUGAGUAAUGCCUAGGAAUCUGCCUGGUAGUGGGGGAUAACGUCCGGAAACGGGCGCUAAUACCGCAUACGUCCUGUGGGAGAAAGUGGGGGAUCUUCGGACCUCACGCUAUCAGAUGAGCCUAGGUCGGAUUAGCUAGUUGGUGGGGUAAAGGCCUACCAAGGCGACGAUCCGUAACUGGUCUGAGAGGAUGAUCAGUCACACUGGAGCGGAGACACGGUCCAGAGUCCUACGGGAGGCAGCAGUUGGGAAUAUUGGACAAUGGGCGAAAGCCUGAUCCAGCCAUGCCGCGUGUGUGAAGAAGGUCUUCGGAUUGUAAAGCACUUUAAGUUGGGAGGAAGGGCAGUAAGUUAGUACCUUGCUGUUUUGACGUUACCAACAGAAUAAGCACCGGCUAACUUCGUG
rnacentral:rRNA from 1 species